rnacentral:rRNA from 1 species
UUUAUCGGAGAGUUUGAUCCUGGCUCAGGACGAACGCUGGCGGCGUGCCUAAUACAUGCAAGUCGAGCGGACAGAUGGGAGCUUGCUCCCUGAUGUUAGCGGCGGACGGGUGAGUAACACGUGGGUAACC